UGACUGGCUCAGAGGCCUGGCAGAGAUAUCCAGCCUCUACGGUGGAGAGCAGUGCCCGUAUAUAUUCCAGUGGAACGGCAAGCAGGUCCAGAAGCUGAACCGUAUGCUGAGAGCAGCCUGGCAAGUUGCUGGCAUGACUGGGGACAUUGCUUUCAGCCUGAUCCGUACAUCCAUCGCCAUAGAGGCCAAGAAACAUCUGUCACACUCGGACAGGCUGCUGGUGUGUAACAGCAUGUGCCACGACAUCUCCACAGCCUAGCGGUUCUACACUGAUGUUCCCAAUCUCAGUGAGGUUUUCCGCAUAAGGGACCUUCGGACACAGGCUUUGAAUAGCUCUGCAGACCCAUUGGAUGCAUCUAGUGAUCCAGAAAGUUCAUCCAGUGAAAGCAGCUGCUCUCCAGAUAAUCAAUAAAACCAUCCAUUAUACAAUUUUAAA